ACGCACUCCGUAGGAUUGACACCGCACAACUUUUGUCCACUUCCGAACUUCGACCGCGGGGCAUGAGCGCUGUACGUUAAGUUGGCUGCACUAACACCGAGAAGUAUAUGUAAAUCCGACAAGUGUUUUGUUAACAACCUGGAAGACGACUUAUUUGUGACGUCGUUAGUGAAAACAGAAUGAACUAUGCAUCUAUUGCAUUCAAUAAAGCUUUAGAUGAAUGUGAAAUUAAACGUAGAAACGCAAGUUGGAUUGAAAAUUUUUAUGAAAUCGCAUGAGUACGCUGAGGUUUAAUUUGGGCCGAUUUUUUCCAUGACAACUAAAACGAUACUAGUCUUUGAUGGUAAUCCCAAGUCAUUGCAGAGUUUAUAAACAUAAUAUAAUGAUUUCAGUAACGUACACUAUAUUUUGCAAAACACAUGUGAAACAACAUAAUAUUUUCGGAGUUAUUUUAUUACCACUCAAUUCAAAAAUCACUUGAUUAAAAAGUAAAGGAGUAUGUACAAAAUAAUUAUUAUUAUUUAUUUCAAUAAAAUAAUAAAAAUCAUCCGUACAUGAACACAAGACGAACAACAUGAGGUCCACAGGCGACGAUGACGACAGUGACGACGCCAAGUCCUGUGACCUUUUAAAUAAUGCAGCGUUGCCCCCGCACACCCAGCACACUUUGAGGACAGCAAACGAUUCGAUGAACGACGCGGUUGUUAUACAGUUGACGAGUACAAAUCAAUAUUUUAAUAUCAAAUUGUUAUAUAUAUGUACACACUCAUUCGGAGGGGUUGGGUCAAAUGGGAAUCUCGAUAACGUGCCGAAUUUGCGUUUGUUAUAAUAAUUAAAAUAAUAUCAUAAAACCGAAAUAACACCGAAAACACUACACAUUUCAUCCAAGCUGUUUAAAUCUCCAUGAAUUUGUCGGCAUUUUCACGUACAUACUAUGUACCUAAUGGAACUUUCACAACCAGAACAUCAGAAAGUCGACGUUUAUAAAAAAAAAAUGAUAUUUUCUUCAAGCCAAUCCAAAAAAUCUAAAGCUUAAAUUUUUAUUUUUCGCAUCUAUCUCCUUUGGGAUCGAAGUGAUCAAAUUUUUAUCAAAUAAUAGGAUACGAUACAAUGAAGACAUACAUCAUCUGUAAACAAUAAUUUCGACCGAAUAUCAUGGUAUACUGCCCAAAUUAACUAAAACAAUGAUUAUAGAACAAUGAAACCUAUCUUUGCCUCUCGACUAUACGGAUCUUUGCGUAGGAUAUAAAUUUUAUUUCGUCUCAUCACUAUAUUUUUUCUGCCACAGGAAAAGUCUAAAUCUAAGACUUAUUAUUGUAUUUGGAUCUUACUUUGGUAAUUAAUACACUAUAGCAAGCAGUCUUGUAAGGUCGUUCCACUGAAAGAGUAGUUGAUUAAAAGUAUAAUACUUUCUUGCGGU